rfam:Haemonchus placei strain MHpl1 genome assembly, scaffold: HPLM_scaffold0008542
AUUGCAUGUUCUUCAAACGGAGUCAUCGAUGUGUUCUUGUACGAUGCUAAGAACACUCAUUGACUUUGGUUUGAAGAAAUAUAUGCAGU